CCUACGGGGGGCAGCAGUGGGGAAUAUUGCACAAUGGGGGAAACCCUGAUGCAGCGACGCCGCGUGAGCGAUGAAGUAUUUCGGUAUGUAAAGCUCUAUCAGCAGGGAAGAAAAUGACAGUACCUGACUAAGAAGCCCCGGCUAACUACGUGCCAGCAGCCGCGGUAAUACGUAGGGGGCAAGCGUUAUCCGGAUUUACUGGGUGUAAAGGGAGCGUAGACGGCUGUGCAAACCAGAUGUGAAAGCCAGGGGCUCAACCCCGGGACUGCAUUUGGAACUGUGUGGCUGGAGUGUAAGAGAGGAAG
rnacentral:rRNA from 1 species